CGCGUAAGGCUCUGCACAGGUUGUUGUAUCGAGAGUUAGUCUCCUAACGUCAUCACUAGGCUAGUGAUGGUAACAGAUCGAACUGAUGUGUGUAGAGUACACGGAGCGGCGGACGGCUGAGUAACGCGUAGGAACAUACCCCAAAGUGAGGGAUAAGCACCAGAAAUGGUGUCUAAUACCGCAUGUGGUCUUCGGAUUAAAGCUUUAUGCGCUUUGGGAAUGGCCUGCGUUCGAUUAGCUUGUUGGUGAGGUAAUAGCUCACCAAGGCUUUGAUCGAUAGCUGGUCUGAGAGGAUGAUCAGCCAGACUGGAACUGAGACACGGUCCAGACUCCUACGGGAGGCAGCAGUAGGGAAUUUUCCACAAUGGGCGAAAGCCUGAUGGAGCAACGCCGCGUGCAGGAUGAAGGCUUUCGGGUCGUAAACUGCUUUUAUAGGUGAAGAAUAUGACGGUAACCUAUGAAUAAGGAUCGGCUAAUUACGUG
rnacentral:rRNA from 1 species